UUCAAGAGCCUGUUGCACUUCUCGGAUGCACCGAGGCGCCUGAAUGCAGUUCGCCCGGUCUUCAGCCUUGCAGUUUCAGCAACUUUGGCCCUUUCUCUCAUUCAAUGGUGGCCGCGCGUGACGUGGAUGCAAGAACAUCGUUUUCACCUUGCCACCAUCGACGAAACCCUUUGCGGUACAGGGUGUCCCAUCCUGGUACAAUUGGAAUAAAUAAAUCAAGAACCCUCUCGUCCAACCAUUGCACUUGUGAAUUCCGAACAUUUCACCUGGCCCGACGACCCGAUGACCCUCCACGUCAAGUACCUGGAUCCCAAGCCAGCCUCGAACCACGAAAAUGAGAGGAAGACCAAUGGAACUUCGAAAUCAGUUAGAUGAUUCUGUAGAAGAAAGUCGGCCACCAUUGAACGUGUAAAACUUGAUACGCAUGGUAUAUUAGCAGGUUGAACGUAGCCUGGAGAAAUGAACAACGAGGUUCAAUUUUAUUAUUGAACAUAGCAGAGGAAGGCGGAGCGGCCUUUGAACGAGACAGAAACGGAGAUCAUAAUUUCGAGGCUGGAUGAAUCGUGGUGGGCCAAAAAUAUGUCGUGCCCUCUUGUCGCUCGUCACGACACCAUUGUACGCGAUUCAACGAAACAUUUCCUCCUCCUCAAAAAAAAAAAUUAAAACCAUCAAAAGACGUUUAAAUCUCGCGACGAAAGAGCGUGAAGAAUCGAACAACCGUUUUCGUUCAACAACUUUCCAGCUUGGAUUCUCGUUCGGCUCCUAAGCGCACACGUGUCGUUCGUAAAAUCGGGCAACCGGUCGUUGCGAUUGAAUUUAUUCGACGUACACGUCAACGCUGAUCGUAGCCGUUAAACGACGACCACGGUUGAUAACGCGUGUGCGGCUUCGAGCCACCGCUGUCGGGAACGAAUUUCCAUAGCGCGACACCGCGAAACGGCAAUGAGGAAGUCGUCUGACCUGGCAGACCACUCGCGUAAGUUCGCACGGGCGUUAAUUUACGCCUGACCCGGAUGGCAGAGAAUCGUGGAUGACAGAGGUGCGAAACCGCGUGUGGCUACUUUUAGACGGCCGGCGUCGUAAACGUCGAUGCUCGAUUCGGUGAGUUCAUGGUCUUCGUUUCGUUGCUGCGGAAAACGUAAAUUUUAUCUUAAAGUUAGAGUUGAAGUUAAAAACGGAAAUAAAAAACACAAUUACCCCCCUUAAUCCCAGUCACCCUGAUCGUUCUCGUACACCCCGAGAACAAUUUCAUUUCCUCCUUAUCCUCGAUUUCUCUUCUCUACAUUCCUUCGUUCCCUUUCUUCCUUUCGGUAUAGCACGAUACGAUAGGAUACGUGAUUACCAGCAGCCUCCAUAGCAGCAGACAUUAUCCAGGGGUUAGGGGUCGUCCCGCCUCGACUUACCGGUCAGCCUGCGAGUAAUUGCAGUCGGCUGCAAUCCCGGGAAACCGCAUCCUGCCUUUCGUUCGUAGACGAAAAAUUGUUAGCUACGCGAAUGGAUGCAGUGUUCCGAGCCGUACUUUCGCGCGGGUACUAGAAAGUCGUAAUGGAUUCGUGUGAAGUUCGUUUA